rnacentral:rRNA from 1 species
AAAAAACAUAACCUUGAGAAACAUUCAAGGCAAGCCCUGCCCAGUGAUUAAUUUAAACGGCCGCAGUACCCUGACUGUGCUAAGGUAGCGUAAUCAGUUNUCUUUUAAUUGGGGACUAGUAUGAAUGGGUUCAUGGGGNUCUACUGUCUCCUGAGGGGUUUUGUGAAGUUGAAAAAAGGGUGAAAACUCCCUUAAAAAGAUAAAAGACGAGAAGACCCUAAGAACCUCAGAAACUACGAUUAGUAGUCGCAAGCUUUUGUUGGGGCGACAUCGGAGCACUAUCUUUUAAACCUCCGAAAAUAAGAGUAAACCAAACGAUAAUCAUAAGAGAGAUUAGGUUACCUUAGGGAUAACAGCAUAAUUAUUAAUAGUUUGUGACCUCGAUGUUGGACUAGGGACCUUCAGGACUAGAAGACCCAAAGGCAAGUUCUGUUCGAACUAACAAAUCCCUACGUGAUCU